rnacentral:rRNA from 1 species
CAAACUGAAGAUGGCGACCGGCGCACGGGUGAGUAACACGUAUCCAACCUGCCGAUAACUCCGGAAUAGCCUUUCGAAAGAAAGAUUAAUACCGGAUAGUAUACGAAUAUCGCAUGAUAUUUUUAUUAAAGAAUUUCGGUUAUCGAUGGGGAUGCGUUCCAUUAGUUUGUUGGCGGGGUAACGGCCCACCAAGACUACGAUGGAUAGGGGUUCUGAGAGGAAGGUCCCCCACAUUGGAACUGAGGCACGGUCCAA